GCUGUGAUAGCUGCCUGGUUAAGGCAUUGGACUUGAAAUUUAAUUGAGUUUCCCUGUGCAGGUUCAAAUCCUGUUUAUAGCU
rnacentral:tRNA from 1 species